GACGAACGCUGGCGGCGUGCCUAAUACAUGCAAGUCGAGCGAAUGGAUUAAGAGCUUGCUCUUAUGAAGUUAGCGGCGGACGGGUGAGUAACGCGUGGGUAACCUGCCCAUAAGACUGGGAUAACUCCGGGAAACCGGGGCUAAUACCGGAUAACAUUUUGAACCGCAUGGUUCGAAAUUGAAAGGCGGCUUCGGCUGUCACUUAUGGAUGGACCCGCGUCGCAUUAGCUAGUUGGUGAGGUAACGGCUCACCAAGGCAACGAUGCGUAGCCGACCUGGGAGGGUGAUCGGCCACACUGGGACUGAGACACGGCCCAGACUCCUACGGGAGGCAGCAGUAGGGAAUCUUCCGCAAUGGACGAAAGUCUGACGGAGCAACGCCGCGUGAGUGAUGAAGGCUUUCGGGUCGUAAAACUCUGUUGUUAGGGAAGAACAAGUGCUAGUUGAAUAAGCUGGCACCUUGACGGUACCUAACCAGAAAGCCACGGCUAACUACGUGCCAGCAGCCGCAGUAA
rnacentral:rRNA from 1 species